AUAUGCUCAUACCUCUUUUUGAGAAAUAAGUAGAUAUAAUUAGAGCAUAUGGAUACAGCAAGGGAUCCUUAAUUCUCAAAUAAUCUGGGGCCAUAACUUUAUAAUCUACUUAGAGAAUUCAUUUAAAAUAACAAAUAUAUUAUCAUUUGAUAAUAUAUUUGCUGGUUUAGCAUUUGAAUGAAAUUAACAAGUUAAAAAGGAAGCUUUCACUAUCUUUAUCACUCUAAUUUUAGAAGAGGUUUGUAAUUAAAAUACAACAAAAAAAUUAGCCAGGCGUGGUGGUGGGCAUCUGUAGCCCCAGCUGCUUGGAAGGCUAAGACAGGAGAAUCACUUGAACCCAGGAGGUGGAGGUUGCAGUUAGCCGAGAUUGUGCCACUGCACGCUAGCCUGGGCCACAGAGUGAGACUUCAUGUCCCCCCGCCCCGACCCCCCGCAAAAAAAAAAAAUGUAUUUUCAACAUUGAAAAUUUCACAAAGGAGUAGAUUUUAGAUCAGGUCUGAUGUAUUUUGAGGUCCAAUGCUGGUUGAUGUUCUCGUAUAUUAUUAUCAUUAAUAUUUUUAAUACCAACAGUGGUUAUAACAGCCAGAUCCUGAGAAUUUUUCAAAUUUGAGAUCUCACAUAGAGAGUAUAAGACUUAAUAACUGCCAUCAAGUAAUAUUUAGGUCACACAAAACAUUGCAAUUUAAUUGAAUGAGACAAAACAUGCAGAGAUGCCUGGCUGGAUGUCCAGCUCAGUGGCUGGAAUAGCAGGAGCUCAAAAGCUUAUUUAAUUUGACCUGAAUCAGGCUUAAAGUAUGUGUUUAUAUUUUCUAUGACUCUUUUAUUCUAUGAAAAUGAAACAUUAUAAGAAGAGAUGUAACAACAACAACAACUAAUAUCUAUCACAAUUUAUAAUUUACUUACUAUAGGACUAUAGGCCUACUCUAUGGAAGCAGGAAGUGCUGAGAGCCUUAUAUUCCUUUUGCUACUAACAGGGAAGUACUUCACAGUGCCAAAAAUUGUCAGAAAUGAUUUCCUCAAAGCCACACAGCUGGCAAAUGCCAGACCUUGAGCCCACAU
rnacentral:lncRNA from 1 species